UACGAAGGGGGCUAGCGUUGUUCGGAAUUACUGGGCGUAAAGCGUAUGCAGGCGGACUUUUAAGUCGGGGGUGAAAUCCCGAGGCUCAACCUCGGAACUGCCUUCGAUACUGGGGAUCUCGAGUCCGGGAGAGGUGAGUGGAACUCCGAGUGUAGAGGUGAAAUUCGUAGAUAUGGGGAGGAACACCGGUGGCGAAGGCGGCCACCUGGACGGUCACUGACGCUGAGACGCGAAAGCGUGGGUAGCAAACAGG
rnacentral:rRNA from 1 species